rnacentral:rRNA from 1 species
UACGGGGGGGGCAAGCGUUGUUCGGAAUUACUGGGCGUAAAGGGCUCGUAGGCGGCCAACUAAGUCGGAUGUGAAAUCCCCAGGCUUAACCUGGGAACUGCAUCCGAUACUGGAUGGCUUGAAUCCGGGAGAGGGAUGCGGAAUUCCAGGUGUAGCGGUGAAAUGCGUAGAUAUCUGGAGGAACACCGGUGGCGAAGGCGGCAUCCUGGACCGACAUUGACGCUGAGGAGCGAAAGCCAGGGGAGCAAACGGG